CAAGGUGGUUAUUAGGCUACAUACUGUAGGCUACAAGGUUAUUCGUACGUACUGUAGGUUACGAGGUUCUUAGGUUACAAGGUUAUUAGGCUACAUACUGUAGGUUACAAGGUUAUUAGGCUACAUACUGUAGGUUACAAGGUUAUUAGGCUACAUACUGUAGGUUACGAGGUUAUUAGGUUACAAGGUUAUUAGGCUACAUACUGUAGGUUACAAGGUUAUUAGGCUUACAUACUGUAGGUACAAGGUUAUUAGGCUACAUACUGUAGGUUACAAGGUAUUAGGC
rnacentral:lncRNA from 1 species